UUUUUUCUCUUGUUCAUCUCCCUUCCCUUCCAAUUUCUUUAUCUCCCUAGAAAAAAACCCAUCCCCUCGUGGCAAUGUCUUCUCAUUCCAAUUGUGAAUCUCCCUUCCCUUGCAACAGCUUUUGAGGCUACUCAAUCUCAACCAAAUGUGAAUUCAGUUCUGACAAACACACCCAAUUAAUUACUAUACUUAAAACAGUUAAGUGAUUCUGCAUCUUUUGUAGCAGUUUUAUUUAUG
rnacentral:lncRNA from 1 species